AUAAUCCCGCCUAAGAACCGAUGAAGUUCGACUCAGGCAAGUUUCUUUCCAAUGAUUUAUAUACGAAUGUUAAUGCAACGAUUAUCAAUCAAAUCAACACCAAAAGUAUAACCUCGAGCAUCCAUUCAUAGGGAUUAUAGCAAUUGUAAUAUCAAAAAACCACCAAACAAUACGCAAUUAUGUAACUUUUUAAAAAAAUAUAUAUGACCAAACAUGGAUAGAUUUUCAUGGCAUAAAAUACACAAUCCACAAAAAUAAUAAUAACAACAACAACAACAAUAACAACACGAAUAGAUUUCCAUUGCAUAGAACUCAGAUUAAAUCUUAAUAAUGAAAAAAAGUGUAAAAAUGCAGAAAAAUCAGAAUCUUGACAAUUUCUAUACAGUUUUAUAGUUUCUUCCAAGAAUAUCAACUACGGAACAUAACUCAAAUUCCAAAUAAAUAAACGACUAUACACCAAAAAUCUCCAGGGGCAUAAACUUAUUUUGCUAAUUUUAAGCAAAAAUCUGAAGAAAAAAAGUGAAAAAAGUAUUGCCUGGCUCCAUUCUGUCUGCCUCUCCCUCAACUUAAUUUCAGCUGGGAAGGUAUUGUUUCACCAAUAAGAGCUCUCUUAAAAGUACUUUUCCACCUUAAGAUUUCUGGAAAAUGACAUUUCACCACAUACAAGAAUGAUGGAAUCCAUUCUUGAACAAGGGCUUACUGGUCAUUUCAUGUAGUAAAAAGGAGAAGAAGUAGAAAAGUUAACAUAUUGCACCAACCCUAUCUCCUUCUAUAAACAUUAUUUGGUCCCUCUGCAUAAAAAUCAUGGCCGUGUCAAUAAAUAAUGUAUGUAUUAGGGUGGGGAGGGGUGUGGUGGG
rnacentral:lncRNA from 1 species